GCCGCCAGUAACACUCACACCUGCUUAGCGCUUUGACUUCUCUGCAAGCCCAUUUCACAGAUGGAACACUGAGGCUCACACAGGUCAAGAGAAAAACCCCACAUCUGAUGGCCCAGACCAAAGGGGUGUGGCCAGUUGUCAUGGUUCUCCAAUCCUGACUGGAUGAAGGCAGGAGUUCUUUAUUGAAUGGAUUGUGUGAUGGAUUCUAGAGCCAGAAAACCCAAGUUCAAAUUCUGACAGCCUCUUCCUGCCUUCAGCAAAUCACUAAGCUUCCCGGGACCUCCAUUUGUCCAUCUGCAAAGUGAGCUGUUGCAAAUAAAGUGGUUGAGAGGACUGGACGAGUUAACUCGUGCCAAGUGCUAAGAAUUGUGCCUCGCACACAGGAAGCACUUUGUGUUUACGCUGGUGAUGAUGGUGAGGUGCUGUUCUAGUCUCUGGAGAUACUGGAGUCACGGAGUAGGAAAUGAAACCACGUCUGCAUCUGCUCGUGGGCCUGGUGACUCUGCGUGGUGCCUGUGAUUCUCUGACUGUGUGGGUGCCAAUGAAGGUCACACUGAGCAGGCGGGCCUGACUUGAAGGACGCUAGCUGUGAUAAGCCCUCCUUGACGUCAAUCACCAUCCUCCAGCCAGUAGACUCUUCGCCUUCUGCCUCCCUGGGCCACUCAAGGCACGUUCCGCGGCAGGCGGGGCCCGCAGCCUAAAUCGGACAGCGAUAGGCUCUGGGAGACGCCAGUCUCCGCGAGUCUCUGCCAGUCUGCCAAUAGGACGGGCAGCUGCGGGGUGGGAUUCCCACGGCGCACCGCAGAGGCUGGAACUGCUCGCGAGGGAAACAGGUUCGGCGUGUCCAGUCGGAACAAAACCAAACCGACAGGCGAGGUAGGGCCAGUCCCCCGCCCUGCGUCGGUCACAGCAGCAGUAGAAGGCAAUGAUGGAGUGCAGCUCUGGCUGUCUACGGAGACUGUGCUCCCCGAAGGACACCAGCCCGAUGGAGAUGGUCUGCAGGAAUGGCCGGAUGGCGGGCGUGAACUGUGGAGAGAUGCCGCUGUGUCACCCACUGCCCAGGAGGGACCGGAGGCAGGCAGGAGUGAGGGGCAGAGACGUGGUUUGGGGGGAGGCGUGGUCAUUCAACACACAUUUAGUGAGCUCCAGUACUGCUCUAGGUGCCUUCACGGAGCUGAUGUCAAAGAGAAGGCUGACAAUAAGCAAAUAAAGGCAUAUGUUUUAUGA